rnacentral:lncRNA from 1 species
UACCUUUCAUUAAUACAAGAUCAUGUAUGAUUAAUCGGAACAUGGAGCGACCACCCAGGAAAACAGUGCUACCACAAGACUAAAUGGCUCUGGUCUUGGCUGAAUAAUUAGAAACUCUAGUUUGGGGUAAUCUUACCGAAAGGGCAAGAGGGGAGGCAUUGAUGGGAUAUAGCACUCGCUCUCUUGGGAAGUGGGCUUGGCUAAGACACUAUACCCACUAGGGGACUACUAUGUUUCACUUCGACCUGAAACCUUAGCGGGUUACCACAUUGCUAGCGGAUCUUUGUAAAGGCCUCGUAGCGUCCCUAUGCAAUCACACCUCGGAAGUGUGGUAUGGUGCCUUGCAAACACCGCAUGGUUGGGU